rnacentral:rRNA from 1 species
CUCAAAUUUGAAAUCUGGUACCUUCGGUGCCCGAGUUGUAAUUUGGAGAGGGCAACUUUGGGGCCGUUCCUUGUCUAUGUUCCUUGGAACAGGACGUCAUAGAGGGUGAGAAUCCCGUGUGGCGAGGAGUGCGGUUCUUUGUAAAGUGCCUUCGAAGAGUCGAGUUGUUUGGGAAUGCAGCUCUAAGUGGGUGGUAAAUUCCAUCUAAAGCUAAAUAUUGGCGAGAGACCGAUAGCGAACAAGUACAGUGAUGGAAAGAUGAAAAGAACUUUGAAAAGAGAGUGAAAAAGUACGUGAAAUUGUUGAAAGGGAAGGGCAUUUGAUCAGACAUGGUGUUUUGUGCCCUCUGCUCCUUGUGGGUAGGGGAAUCUCGCAUUUCACUGGGCCAGCAUCAGUUUUGGUGGCGGGAUAAAUCCAUAGGAAUGUAGCUUGCCUCGGUAAGUAUUAUAGCCUGUGGGAAUACUGCCAGCUGGGACUGAGGACUGCGACGUAAGUCAA